rnacentral:lncRNA from 1 species
AGAUGUUCAAGCUAGUACUAGAUCUUCUACUUUAUGGUGUGGGAUGGUUUCGGUCUGGCCUCAUUUGUUGUAGUGUUAUUUUUAUGCUAUUGGUAAUGGAGCUGUGGCGCGCUUCUGGACAGACAUAUGGCUUUCUUAAGGGAGGAAGCAUCUCAUCCCGUCCCGUUUUCUAUAUUGAAUGAUUAGGUGGCUCUCUAUGUUGCUCCUAAUGGGAGCUGGGAUUGUGAUAAGAUGUGUAUGUUUCUUCUAAACCAUUAUAUUAAUUGUAUUACUGCUAUUCUCCCACCUUCAUUUGUU